CUUGGCAGUGUGGUCAAGAAACUGAAAGCCAGUAUCCAGGACACACAGAAAGAAAGGAAUCAGACAGAGACAGAAACUGCCAUACUGAGAACUGAGCUUCAGCAGCUAAAUCAGGAACUGCAGGGUGUGCAUUAGCAGUGCAGAAGGACAGCCCAAGAACUUGCCAGUCAAGAUGAAAAACUUCUUCUAAUGGAAUCCAGCUUGAAAGCAACUCAAGAGCAGCUAAGUGAGCAAACAGCAGAAACAGUUCACCAAGAACAGAACAGUAGAAAAUCACAGACAGAGCUGAAAGAAGAUCCUGAGAGAACGUAUUAUAGCUUCUGAUGAAGAAAUUAGUGAUUACAAAUACAUCUCAGUGUGCACUGUAUGGAGACACCAAAGCAGAAAUACUCGCAUAGAUGACAGAAUGUUCAUCUUGUUUGCAGUUGUCUAAACUCUUACAGAAAAAAUCCUGAUUUCUCUUAAAAAAGCAGAAAACUGUGUGGAGAACUUUAAGGUCUGAAAAAUGUGAGUAAUGCCUCCAGAAAAGCUUAAAUGGGAAUCACGCCAAGAAUGUGGGACCAGGAAAGUCAAAUUGUCAGACUGAGACAAAACUUUGUGGAAAUGGAAGAAGAAGUAAAGAACUUAAGACUUACACACAGCAAUGAUGCUCAGAUGAUUGAUAAGAAUCUGAAUACUCUGAGAAAUGAGAUGAACUUGUAUGAAGACACAUAGGAUGGUAGUCAAAUGAGCUGAAGUUUAAAUAUGAACAACACAAUGCAACACUGAGGCCUGCAUGACUGUAAGAAUGUUAGGAUAGAAAAUUGUCUUUGGUAGCAGCAAAGAUUAAAAAAAUAGUAUCACUUAAAUAAAUACAUGUGAAGAAGCCAAAUUUGUAACAAAAAGGAAACCAGUAAAUGAAUUCACAAAAGCCAGCUACUACAUAGCAAAUCUCUGUAUAAAUGGGCUGAGAGUAUGUACCAAGAAGAAGGCAAGUAUCUAUUCUUUUUCAAUGGGAAAAACAAAAAACAAAAAACAAACAAACAAAAAAGCUAUUUCAUCCUUACUUUGGGAAAAAGGCACACAAAACCAAAGCAAAAAAUGCCUCACUGACUGCAUCUGUCCAUUCUGUACUGUAAUUUGUUUCCCGCUAUGAAGAUUUAGGUUAAAUUCAUUUCUAUUAUUAAAGACAAAUAAGCUGCAAAAGAACUAAUUCUCUGUCUCCAUCUUUUACAUGUAUAUUUAUUCAUAUGAAUGCACUUUUGUUCAUUUAUUUUUACUUCUACCUUGACAAAGCUGUGCAAAAAAUAACAUAGUUUGAUUACUCAUAAUUUGCAUUUGUGUAAUUAAUAGGGAUGAAAAGGAUUAAAAUCAAUGGAGAAAUAUUUAUUUGUUUAAAUUGGAUAACUAUGGAAAAACUAUUUGGCAGGAAUGAAAGCUUUUCCAUCUAAAUUACGUCAUAUAAUUUAAACUGUUUUAGUUUUUAAGCUUAAAAAGCAUGAAAAUCACAAAGCAGAACUGGAAGAAGACACAGAAAAAUACUGCCAUGUAAAGGAAGAGCCUUCAGAACAAGGGUCUCAGCUCAAAAUUAGCUAGCUGGUCCAUUCUGGAGUGGGAAAACUGAUAAAAUGCCGCAGUACUCAGGUAAUACCCUUGAUACAAUAUGUGGAAGGGAGACAGUGUUUGAAGUAAUAUCAGUGAAUGUAUCAGAGUACUCUCAGAGAAUUUUUCCAACGGAUAAGGAAAUAUUAUUUAAAUAAUACUAACUGUAAAAUUCACUCAUGAGUGAUUGAGAAAACAUGAGAAAUAUUGUUGAAAAUAUCAAGUCAAUAUAACAGCAGCAUUUCUUCUUUUAAAAGUGUUGUGGGUGGGAUUCACCUUGUUGAACUGGAGGUAGGAAUAUUUGAAAUAGAUGUCUAAGUUCCAUUGCUGUCAUUGGAGACUUAAUCAACUCAGUGAGUGAAAUCAAGGGCUAUCAAUACCUUUCAUUACCCAAAGUGAACCUACAGAAAAGCUGGAGAGUGACUCUUUAUCAGGUAGCAUUGUCAUAGGACAAGGGAUAGUUGCCUUCAACUAAACUAGAUUAGACAUUAGAAAGAAAUUCUUCACUAUGAGGACAGUGAGAUACUGAAAUAAAUUGUCCAUAGAAACUGUGGAUGCUCCAUCUCUGGGAGCAUUCAAACGUAGGUUGAGUGAAGCCCUUGGCAACUUGAUCUCAUGGAAGGUGACUGUGCUAUGGCAGGGAAUUAGAACUAGAUGAAUUUAAGUUCUCUUCCAAACCAUUUUAUGAUUCUAUGACUAAAUAUUGAUCCAAUCAAUAUUAAGGUUUUCAGAGGAGCUGAAAAUCAAUCCCAGUGACAAUAUUAUUCAUUGUGAUAGAACACAUUCACACACCGUAAUGCAGACAUCCAAAUUUGGGUAAGAAUAAUCAGAUUAGAAAAGUUAGCCUUUUUGCAGCAAUUCAUUAUAUAAUACGGAAUUAUUUUAUUUAUUUUUGUUACUAAUAAGAGUACUAGAUGUUUCACAAGCAUAGAUACUGGUCAAUUAUCUGAGCAAUAUCCAAUAUAUAAAUACACAAAGUUAGAAGGAAAUGAUCAAUGCCAGAGAGAAAUAAAAGUUAAAAUAAUACAUGCUUUUUCUUCUGUGUCUGAGAGAAUGUGAGUAGAUGUGAAAGUUGGAAAACCAAAAGAAUUAGUAGUAUGACAACAUUCCUUUUCUACCCUAGCAUUGUCAAAAGAUAACAAGAUUAAUUCUCUGCUGUAGUAUUUCACUACAGUAGUGUGUUAAUUUGAGGGGCUUGGCUGAGCCUUAUUCAGCAUAUAAUUAGAAUUUACUGAACUUUAAUUUCUUAUCAUCUUUAGGCUGCAUUAUCAAAGUGUUUAUAUUGAAACAUUCAAAUGUUCAGUUAAAAAUAAACUUCAGUUUGUCAAGGAUACAUUGUAUACAAAUUCUGUGGAAAUAUUUGAAUAAAAUUGUUCACUUUUGCUUUGUGAGAAAUGCUUUGCACUUUACAUAUUUAUAACAUAAUGUCAUUAGAGUAUGUAUCUUAGAAAUAUAGCAAUUUCCUGGUGAAUUUAUUGAAUAAAUGCUUAUCUAAUAAGUAAUUUGAGAGUAGAGAAAGAUCUAAUGAAAAGCUAAAUACACAGUGAAAUCCUAAUCAAGCAAUUGAAAUAGUUACUCAUGAUAAAACUAAGAUUAUCAGAGUAUCAGAACACAAAUUACUCCAUUAAUCUUUUGAAUUAGUCAGUUCUUAUUUUCUGAAGCUAAGUAACUUGGGAAGGUACACUCAAGGUUUCAUCUUUCUGAAGACUGUAUUUAUUACCUUUACUUUCAUAAAGAGUUCAUUAGAAAGAAUAUUACAGUGAAAUACGUUAACUUUUUAGCCUGUUUUAAUGAGGUCAUGUGAGUCUUUAAUUAUCUGACAUAAAACUGCUUAGUUUUACGUAGUAUCUACAGAUACUAAUUAGUAUCUACAUAUAUACAUUAGUAUCUACAUCAAUUAGUAUCUACAGAUAUUAACGGAUUCAUAUGUCAUAAAGCCAGAAGAAACGCUGUUAUUGAAUCUUAUAUGUGGCACAAUGCAGGCCACAGGACUUCACUGAAUUGAGUAGUUGUAAGAGAUUAUUCUUUUAUAUGAUUGACUCAAAGUUUGCUGAGGAACAAGUCCAGGCAAGUCCUGGGCAAAGGUACAGAAAUCUUCUGUCUGGAGGACACUGAUGGACAGGUCCUGGCUAAAGGAUUGUGAAGUCCUUUAAGGAGCACAGAUGGACGAGGCCAGGGGCAACGAGAGAGGGAUAAGCUGCUGAUAAUGGCUGAGAAAUGGUCUUUUGUGUGGACUUAUCUAGAAGAAGAUGGCCAUCUCAGGAGCUACGCACAUGACUCUUGCUCAAGCACCCAGGGAUGUCACGUAGGCAGGAAAAAGAGGAGGAUAAAAGAGGGUCUAACAACCAUGAGGAGAGGGUUUCUGCCAUCAGAUCCCUCACCACGACGGACUCAAGGUUUCUGCCAUCAGAUCCUUCACUACGGACCAUAUGCUGAUGGACUUCCCUGGGCCUGCUACCUGAGACCUGCUGCUUCCUCCCAGACUUACUCUGCGGCUUCUUCCUGGACCCACCCGGUACCUGCACCCUCUCGUUGCCCAAGACCGGCCUCGCUGCUCCUGCCCUUCAGCCUCGGACCAUCAGAACAUCGUGCAACAGGACUACUGCUGGUGAAUAUAUGGUUGUUACACUGAUGUCUCACAUCUGUGCAAAGAAAAUGCUGUUUCACCACCUGCAACAUCUCUCUGUAUUUGAAGAGAUGUCUGGUUUUCUGAAGUAAGCAAAGAUGUUUGAUUUUCUUUACAUUAACAUAACCUUUGUUCUUUUCUUCUCAAGCUGAGCUCCUUGCUGUACACAUGUAAAUUUUAUCUCUUCUUUACUUAGUACGAGAAUUCCCAGUCGUGGACUUCUGUAUGUCAGUGAACCAACAGGCUGUAUACUCUAUUACCAUGACAGAAAACAGUGCACUGGCAACAGCAUCACAAACACACAGAAUCCGGAGGCCUUCCAAGUGUCACUAUAGUAAAGUUUACACAGCCUUUGGACUAUACAUUAAACAUUCCAGAAAAAUGAGUAUGUGGUGUGUGGGCGAGAGGCUGGGAGAGAACAUAGCUAAGAUAACUGACCUAAACUGUCUAAAAGGAUGCUCCAUACAAUACGACAUCAUGCUCAACAAUAAUAAGCACAAGGAAAGGAGUAGAAAAGUCGGAUAUUCAUAGCUAUAAUAUUCAUCUUCCCAAGCACCAGUCAUGAUAAGGUCCUGUGUCCCAGGAAGUCUGAAAAUCUACAUGUUGAUGGGAAGCACCAACUGAAUAUUGCUUUUUGCUUUUCUCAUAGACUGGAGUAAGCAAGAGGCAAAGAUGAGUCUGUCCAAUGACCAGUGUCAACCCAUGACAGACUUCAAAUGGAUAUAAGUGUGGAAGUUCGUAUUUGAAGAUACAUAUGGAUUUGUUUACAUAUAUAGAAUUGUGUUGAGUUCUGUUAAUUGCACAGUUUUUUUCAGUGGAACACAGUGGUAUAUCCUGAAGCAAAUCAUACUGCAAAUUAAAAUGCACAGAGAUCAGAUCCUAUUUUUUCAUUAUGGAAAAAAAAAUAAUUUACAGUCAUUUCUUUUCUGCAUGAAAAAUCCAAGACCUGAAAAAGGCACUUGUUCACACUAUGGUUGGGAGGUUUUGAACAGCAUAUUUUAAGCAGCUAAAGCAGCCUUCCAUGUCUUUUGGAAAUAGAAAUCCAAUGAAAUUUUCCUAUAGGAGAUAUCGUCAAAUCAAAAGUAGGAGAUUAACAAAUUAAACAAGUCAAAGAAGACCUGAACAAUCAGACCACGCACUCUAACCAUCAACAAAAUUCUGAGUGCAUAUGUAUGUCUCAAAAUAUAUAUGCAUACAUAUAUGCAUUUACUAUAUUACCAAGAAAGUUUCUUGGUAGUUCUUUCGGGUUAAUAAAAUCGGGUUAAUAAAAUAAAAUCUGUGGGAAAGGUGAAAUCUGUGUGAUGUAUCUGUCAAAAUAUUCAUUACAAAUAAAAUUCUUUAUACUUUUUAACAGUAGAUGUUAUUUUAUGCACAAGUUUUGAUGUCAUCCUGAUUAUCCCUUUGUCUUUCUCAAUUGUAAGGAUUUUUAUUUAAUUUGAUAGUAUUCAUCCUUUUUUCUCUAACUUUUUAAAAUUGUAUUUCUUCAGAAAAAUUAACACUCUGUUGUCAAGUAAUUUGUUACUCUUUACUGAUCUUUUCUAAAUUUUCUACAGUGUCCCUUAUUUGACAUAAUUAACAAUAUCCUAUUUAUUGAUCAUCUUUAAUUUCAAAGUAGAAUCCAUGUAAUAAUUACAGAAAGAUUAGAUUAUUCUGUAAAUGCCAUUUUUGUUUCACAUAUUUACUCCUUUUGCAUCUUUUUUUUUUUUUUUUUUUUUUUUUUAUCCUCCCGUGUUUGGGUAUUAAGAAAAAGUCGUUCAUGAAGGAAGCAAAAUAAAUGAAUAUCAUUUUUUUUAAAAAAAUUUGUUCUGAAUGAACUCCAUAAGACUAGCCUUGUGUAUGCGUUGUUGAAAGGCUAGCACAGAAAAACAUUCUGAAGUUUUCCUCAUGGUUUAGUUUGGGAUAAUAUACAUAAAGUUGGACAGAACAGGUAUUUUUUGAUGCGAAAUGUCUACUCAGUUAAAUGUGUGGUAGAUUAUAUUAGAACUUUGAAUUUAAUCAAGUCAAGAUAGAGACAAGGUAAUGAAUGAAUGUGAUAAUGUGUAUUAAAAGGAAAAGCUGAACAAAUAUUUUUGAACUCAAGCAAACAUGCGUUAGAACUUUAUUUGACAAAAUGGCUCAGCACAGCUUAGAGCAGUAUGAGAAGAGUUCUGAAAUAGCACCUGCCUAUUUAUCCAUUUGUAUUAUUGACAGAACAUAGAUUUGCAGUAUGCAGAGUUGACAAUUUCCAACCAGAUGUUGAAGCACUGAUCUACAUGACAGGAAUUGUGAUCAUUAGUUGCCAUGCUUGAAAAGGAUGUGGACAGAUUCAGUGUGGUUAGGUGCAAUCAGUCCUGAAAUUAAUGCAUAAAUGGAAGAGACACUUUUUCAUUAUUGCCUACUUUGGGGGAAACAGUGGGUGCAGUACUGUCAGAGUUCAGACUGAUAGAUAUUGAUACAAAUCAUUUUUAUAUGAUCUGCCUAUUUAUUAAAAUUGCUUUUCUGCUCUCUAUGUGGAAUUCUAUGAUUCAUUACAUUCUGAACUUCUCAAUGUUCAGAUUGCUGUUCUCAUUGCGAGAAAUAAUGAAAUGGAUUCAUUACUUUAUUCUUAAAAUAUUCUGAUUUAUUUUUGGAUAGAAUGUCUUUGGUGAUUUCAUAUACGUUCUUCUUGUCCAGUUCAUUUAUUUUGCUGUGGAAAAGAACACAUAAUACAUGUUCUGAAGACAAAAAAUAAAAUAAAUAUUUUAAGAAUAAGCAAAUACACAAACAGAAACAAGAAAAAGAAAACCUGAGAUGAUAUAAAGUUUAACAGUAUUUUAAGUGUGAGGUGAAAUUUAGGAUGGUUAAUGUCAUGACAAAUACAGAGGAAUUAUGAUUAUGAGCAACUUUUUAUUGCAUAAGCACCUAUAAAACAGAAUAUUUUUUAAUGCAAAGUUUUAGAAAUUCUUUCAAAAUAAUAUUUUGAAAAACCAGCUUCUCUUACAAGACAAGACUUUUAACAGGAUGACCCGGGAUACUAUUCAUAUUUAAUGGGAAUAAUAAAGUUAACUGACAGGGUCAACUUAGCAUUAUCUAUUUCUUUAGAAUAAUUCUUUAGUUUGUAGCUUAACCUAGAAAAGCUGUUACUUGUUUGAUUGAAUUUUAAUUCAUGAAAAGAAAAAUGAAACAGCCAUAUUCUUGGCAUAGAAAUGAUUAAAACAAUACAAGUAAAGUGAAUAGGAAAGUCCAUGAUGAAACCAAUCUACUGAACAUAAGAUUUCUCAUAGUCCAUUUGAAAGAGUCAUUCGUUCUACCUUGUAAUGUUUUCCAAAGCUGCAACAUCAAGAGGUCAUAUUUCUCCAGAAUCUGCUUUCAUAGAGGAGAAAGUUAGUCUAAGUUGCAGUGAAAUCUAUUCCACAUGACAUUACAUUUAUCAUCAAGAUCAGCACUGAGCAACCUCCUGAGCUGAAAAUGAUUUUGACAUGAUUUAAAUCAAUUAACAUCUUUAUUUAGAGGGAGAACAUGGAUGACAACAGUGAACUUGCUCAGAUUUUCAAAUGAUACAGCCUUCCAGGCGUCUAGAGUCUGCAGAAUAAUAUUUCUUUUAACAUAUGUCUUUCCCCUAAAGUAUGAAUAUUCAGAAAAGCUGUGUAAGACUCAAUCAGGGCUGAAGAGGAACAAAAUUGACAUAUUUAAAAUUACACAAGGAAUUUUAUUUAAUUUUAAGUUUCCAAAAGUCAUUUAAAGGCACAUGAAAACGAAGCCUAUCAGCCAUAUUUUAAGAAAGUGUUUGUUAAAAUUACAUGGAAAAUUUAUUUGAUAAAGUGCAAAUGAAAACGGAAUUAUUGAAGCUAGAUACUUUUAGUGUCUUAUUGUUUCUAUCUACAUUUCUCAUUGCCUUUUUUAUCUUAUCCUCUUGGAAACAUCUCUUCCAACUUUUCCCUAAUAUUUUUAAUAACAUUUAUCUUAUUGCCCUUUCCAUAUAAUCAUCCACCCUCUUUUGUCUCCUUCAAUGGAUACUGAUUUCAGUGCACCACACUCUGGAAAAUAUCACAGAAUCUUAAAAGAAUUUAUGCUUAAAGGUGCCUCUGGAAGUCUUGUAGUCCAACAUUUGACUCAAAGCAAUUCAGUAACAGCAGAUUUCUAAAAACGGUAUCCAGAUGUGUUUUGAAUACCAAGCGAUUCCAAUCCCUCUGACUCUCACAUUCACAGACAUGAAAAAAAUUCCUUACUAGUACUCUACAUUUUCCAUGAUAUGCAUUUUUUUUCUGUUUUCUGUUGUCCUAAUACUAUUGAAUCUAAAAAAGAGUUUUCAUCUCCAUCUUCUCCAUAUCUUUCAACCAGGAGAAAAGUAUUCUGAUCAAUGUCUGAAAAGACUUGUCCUCCUAAGACUGAAUAAUGCCUCUUAUCUCAGCUUAUCUUCUCUUGUCAUGUAGCCCUAAUCAUUUUAUUGCCCUGUACUAGAUGUGUCAAUUUGCUUCUUUUACUGGAAAGUUCAUAGUGCUCUAGAUUUGAUUUUACAGGUGCAAAAAAAUUGGGGAAAAAAUGCAUUACCCUACCUGCUGGCAGCAUCCUUGGUAAUCCAGCCCAGAAUACUGGCAUUUUUUGUUGGAGGUGCACAUUGCUAUUUCAUGUUCAACUUCUAGUUACCAGGACAGUCGGGGUAUUUUCUGCAAAGCUGCAUUUUAUCCGCUAUUAGAUUAUUCCUGAUGAAGUGCAGGAUUUUGCACUUGGUUUUGCUGAAUGUGAUGAGGCUUUUUAAACCCCUUUCUCCAGGCUGUCAAGGUUCUCCAGAAAAGCAGCACUACACUCCAGUAGAAUUAUUAAUACAAAAUUUUGACUAGGAUGCUUAAAUGUAGAGAGGAAUAUUCUAUAGUCUACAAUUAAUAGUUUCCUUGAUCAUUUUACAAAGAGGUCUGGUUCUAUUUGUUCAUUUCUACCAGUAUGAAAGCAGAUCAUUAAACAAAGAUGUUUAUGUCUCUUUUGACUCCAGGUUGGUCCUUAAAAUAUAGGGUUUGUUUUGUCUAGUAGGCCAAAGGCCUACUCAGGGACUCAUUUGUUAUUCCUGUGGAUGGAGAAGCAGGUAUAAGUGAUGGUACUUUUUUGUCUUUCCACUGAAAAAAAAUCUUGAGGUAGAAUCAGAAAGUAGACAAGCUUGUCUACUCAAUAUAAUUUUUUUUUUUUUUUUAAGACAGUGGUGUAAUACAGCAAUGGAAGUCAACCUUACCCCAUCUGGUAGAUGACAGUUGGCUGUGUGACCAAGCUAAUUGUUUCAGAAGAUAUCAGUUCUAGAUACAUCUUCUCAGUACUAUCAGUUCUAGAUACAUCUUCUCAGUACUAGCCAAGAAAUAUUUGUACUGUACUUUUAAGUUGGGUUUAUCUUGCUUACCAAGUCUCUGUGUCUGGUGAAGAAUGCCCAAGGAAAAGAGAUUCAGAGAGGGAAGAUAAAAGAACUAGCAUUACUGCAAGAUUGUUGCAGACUGUCUAAAUGUUCAGUAUGAACAUUCUGAUGUUCUUUACAGAGGUAGUAAACAUGACAGUACAUUCUCUAUGACUGCCUAUUCUUAUACCAAGUAAUAUCCCUAAGACAGUUGUUUUCAUCCUUUUUCUCAUCUUGCUUUUAUUUGCUAUAAUAAGAGUAUAUUACAGUUAGGAAUGCAAGCAAGGGUGUUAUUUGCUAGGUGUCUUGGACAGAACACAGCUCUCACCUUCCUGGGAAUAGAGUUGGCAGAUACAAGGUGCAAAUUCAUGUUCCCCAACUCUUAAUGUUUUCAUUUGACUAGGUGAAAAAAGAAAAACAAUAAACAAUGGAAAUUUCUGCCUGUGAUAGGAAAAGGGCAAGGAUUUUAAACUAAAAGAGAAGAGAUUUAGAUUAGAUAUUAGGAAGAAAUUCUUUAUUAUGAGGGUGCAAGGGGAGAUAAGGCACUGGAACAUGUUACCCAAAGAAGCUGUGAAUAUCUCAUUUCUGGAAGUGUUCAGUGCCAGGUUGGAUGGGUAUUUGGAUAACCACUUAUACUGGGUGGCUACCCUGCCCAUGGCAGAGGCAAGGAACUAGAUCAUAGAAGCAUAGAAUCAUAGAAUGGCUUGGGUUGGAAGGCACUUCAAAGAUCUAGUUCCAAACAUCCUGUCAUGGAUAGGGUUGCCAACCAUAGGUCAGACCUCCUACAGCCCCAACUCAGCCUAGCUUCUACAGCUGAGGCAUCCACAAAUUCUCUGGGCAGCCUGUUCUGGUACCUCACUACUUUCUCAGUGAUCACCUUCGUGACCCUUCUCUGGUGCUGUUUCAAAAGCUCCUCAAAAGCUCCAAAAGCUCCAGAUGAUUUUUAAGAUUCCUUGCAACACAAGCCAUUUUAUGAUUCUAUGAAUCUUCACAAUCCUCAUUCUUCUAUUGCAGCUAGGAGCAAUUUUGUGAGCUUCCUUACUCCUGUUCUAUGGAGACACAAGAGUAAGGAGAAAGCAGUCAUCUAAUCUCCAACGGUUUUCUUUACAAGUCAGGAGUUUACUUAACCUAUUCUCAUUCUGGUCCACUUCCUUUACAACUGAGCACCCAGGACUGCGCAAAACUAAUUUUAAGCGCUGCAAGGAAAUAUUUUAACUACAUUACUCACAUAUAUGAUUUUUCUUUUGAUUUAUGUAAUAUUUAUUCCUGAAGAGAAAGAUUUGUUUUAUGGAGAUCACUGUAAGGAAAAAAAAAAAAAAACAAAUAAUGUUAAAAUUAAGCAUUAAUAAUUCUUACAUUUUUUAGACAUUUGUAUCAGUUAAAUAAAAUAGAAAUGUAGCCACAUAAAAAUCCAUAUGGUUUUAAGCUGAUUAGAUCAAUAAAGUAUGAUCUCAUGAAGCAUUAUAUUAUUAUUCUUCCUUUCCAUGCUGACUUAAGAAAAGCAAUUUCUGUACUUUUUUUUUUUUUUUUGCAUUGAAUACUGCAGUACUCUUAACUGUAUUUAAAGUAAGAUUGUUCAAAACUUCACGUUAGUUCAAACAAACCUCUUUGUUAAGAUUUAACAUUACAGAUAGUUACAAAAGUGAUUAAAAAAAAUAAGCAUAAACCUAAAAAUUCUCUCCAUAUGUUUUAAAUUAGAUAAAAUACUGGCAUUAACUGUCAUAGUGAUAUAUAAGGUUUCAGCUUUGUUUUCAAAAUCUAAAAAAAACCAAUAAAAAGUGUUUCUAGAAUUUAAACCAUCAGAACUACAGAGAAAAUCAUGCCACAUUAUCCAUUUGAGUCCAUAAUGAAUUGGAAAAUGUACUCAUGAGGCACGUGAGCUACUUUGUCCACUUCAUAAUCUGAUAGUCCAAUACUUAAAGAAAACGCUACAAGUUUGAAACCACCACUAACUGUUUCAGCAGCUAUGAAACACUGCAUCUUCCUUUUAAUGCAUAUUGGCAGAAAAGCAAGACAAAGCCAACAAAUAACUCUGACACUAUAAAAGGACAGAAAAGAAAACAUUAAAAAAAACAAACAAAAAACAUAUACUCAUGUUCUGGACACCAUCUAUUGCCAGUGUCAUUUUAUUUUGUCAUCUCAUUAGGAAGAGUUUAACCUUAGAGAGAAAUUAGGAUCAGUAUAAAGCUAACAAGACACAUGGCCCUUUCUCGCAAAAUCUGGAACAAAAUUCACAACAGUGAAGCAAGUGUGCAUGGUUAGGUGGAAGCUGGCAUGGAGAAGCAGACUUUUCCUACAAAGGAAAUUAAUAUACAGCCAUGAAACAGUGGAACACAACUAAAUUGUCGGGGAAGACCUUAUCACAAUAGUCCAGUACUUCAUGUACAAAG
rnacentral:lncRNA from 1 species